rnacentral:rRNA from 1 species
ACGGAAGGCAGCAGUGGGGAAUAUUGCACAAUGGGGGAAACCCUGAUGCAGCGAUGCCGCGUGAAGGAUGAAGGUUUUCGGCUCGUAAACUUUUAUCGAUCUUGAAGAAACAACUGACGGUACCUAAGUAAGAAGCUCCGGCUAACUAUGUGCCAGCAGCCGCGGUAAUACCUAGGGAGCACGCGUUAUCCGGAUUUACUGGGUGUAAAGGGUGAGUAGGCGGCAUGGCAAGUCAGUCGUUAAAGACCAGAGCUUAACUCGGGACCAGCGAUUGAAACUGUAAAGCUAGAGUACAGGAGAGGUUAGUGGAAUUACUAGUGUAGAGGUGGAAUUCGUAGAUAUUAGUAAGAACACCAAUGGCGAAGGCAGCUAACUGGCCUGAAACUGACGCUGAGGCACGAAAGUGUGGGGAGCAAACAGGAUUAGAUACCCUGGUA